CAUAAAAUACAAAAACACUUAUGCAAGCGAAUCGUGCCCACAGCUAAAGUUUAGCUGCUAAACUGUGAACACUAGGUGGAUACGUUAGCCGAGUGCUAACGUGACUAACUGAUUAAACAAUACAGUUUGUAAACCAAAAUAUGUCUACUGUAAUGUUUGAAGAACGACAGACAAAAGACGCUUGGUCUUAACUUUUAAUCAGAACGCAGAACAGUUGUAUCACAGGAGCACCAGCCGAAAUCACUCAUCUCUCCCGCAUUAACCCUGUAACUGCCAGUGCAGCACAAUAAACAGCAGUUUCACAAUUAUUAUAAAGUCUGUGUGCUACACUACAUUCUUUAUUAUUAAACAAAGUAAUUAGAACAACGUCAGUCUACAAUAAUCAACAUAUUCUUAGGUUCACUGCGAAUUUUUAGAACUACUUCAGUAAGACAGUAAUAUCAUGCUUUACCUGGAAACCUAAAGCUGCACUAGGUAUACAUCACAUAUUGGCACAAAAAAAUUAUAUUUUGAGCACUCAAUUGAAAAUGUACACCUAACGUAUCAAUCGUACUACUUACAGGUCGUGGUUCAGAGAGCUUGUUAGUCCAAAUUAAGAAGAUUAGAAGCCAACGAAGAUAAAAGCCCAGAUUAGAGAAGCAGUUCUUGAUAAAAUGACAAGCACACAACAAAAGGCUUGAAUUGUAUUUCUGUGAACACCGCGUCUUCUCAACAUGAUGUAAACGCACUAAUAGCAAAAGUGUUUUUGGGCAGAUCAGACUCUGUUCGUAUUUCGCGGGCAUGCGGGGAUUAUGCAAAUGUAUACCCAGUGACGUACACCGGUAACAGGCAAAAGAGUCGAAAAUAUAACGACUCGUUACGGCGAUUCAGAACCGACUCUCUCUUUUGAGAGACAAUAUCUUUAUUUAUCAUGCACUUUUUUGAUUAACAACUUUGCAGAUUGUUUUCAUUUAAGGAUAGCUACGUUAUAAACUGCAAAAGAGAGAUUUUUCAAAAACCCAUCUGACCUGCUCUUUAAUGUUUUGAUCGGAACAGAAGAGCGGUGUUUAGACCCACGACUAUGCCGCUUCACAGUCACCUAGUUGCCAUGCUGCAAUGGCGCUGUUACCGGAACCGAACAAUGUACAGGGCUCCCUGAGCUAGACGCAUCCAAAGCCAUAUCUAGAGCCCUCACAUUCUUUC
ensembl:lncRNA